GCUGCGGCGGCGGCGGUGGUGGCGGCGGUGGGGUGGCGGGAGCGGAGCGGCAUGGCCACGGCGGCUUCUAACCCCUACCUGCCGGGGAACAGCCUGCUGGCGGCCGGCUCCAUUGUACACUCGGACGCGGCGGGAGCCGGCGGCGGUGGGGGCGGCGGCGGCGGGGGUGGCGGCGGCGGCGCGGGAGGCGGCGGGGGCGGCAUGCAGCCCGGCAGCGCCGCCGUGACCUCGGGCGCCUACCGAGGGGACCCGUCCUCCGUCAAGAUGGUCCAGAGCGACUUCAUGCAGGGGGCCAUGGCCGCCAGCAACGGCGGCCAUAUGCUAAGCCACGCGCAUCAGUGGGUCACAGCCCUGCCCCACGCCGCCGCCGCCGCCGCCGCCGCCGCCGCCGCCGCCGUGGAGGCGAGCUCGCCGUGGUCCGGCAGCGCCGUGGGCAUGGCCGGCAGCCCCCAGCAGCCGCCGCAGCCGCCGCCGCCGCCGCCGCCGCAGGGCCCCGACGUGAAGGGCGGCUCCGGACGCGACGAUCUGCACGCGGGCACAGCGCUGCACCACCGCGGGCCGCCACACCUCGGGCCCCCGCCGCCGCCCCCGCACCAGGGCCACCCGGGGGGCUGGGGGGCCGCCGCCGCCGCAGCCGCAGCCGCCGCCGCCGCCGCCGCCGCCGCACACCUCCCGUCCAUGGCCGGAGGCCAGCAGCCGCCGCCUCAGAGUCUGCUCUACUCGCAGCCCGGGGGCUUCACGGUGAACGGCAUGCUGAGCGCGCCCCCGGGUCCGGGCGGCGGCGGCGGCGGCGCGGGCGGCGGCGCCCAGAGCCUGGUGCACCCGGGGCUGGUGCGCGGGGACACGCCCGAGCUGGCCGAGCACCACCACCACCACCACCACCACGCGCACCCGCAUCCGCCUCACCCGCACCACGCGCAGGGGCCUCCGCACCACGGCGGCGGCGGCGCGGGGCCCGGACUCAACAGCCACGACCCGCACUCGGACGAGGACACGCCGACGUCGGACGACCUGGAGCAGUUCGCCAAGCAGUUCAAGCAGAGGCGCAUCAAACUCGGCUUCACGCAGGCCGACGUGGGGCUGGCGCUGGGCACGCUGUAUGGCAACGUGUUCUCGCAGACCACCAUCUGCCGCUUCGAGGCCCUGCAGCUGAGCUUCAAGAACAUGUGCAAGCUCAAGCCGCUGCUGAACAAGUGGCUGGAGGAGGCGGACUCGAGCACCGGCAGCCCCACAAGCAUCGACAAGAUCGCGGCGCAGGGCCGCAAGCGCAAGAAGCGGACCUCCAUCGAGGUGAGCGUCAAGGGCGCGCUCGAGAGCCACUUCCUCAAGUGCCCCAAGCCCUCCGCGCAGGAGAUCACCAACCUGGCCGACAGCCUGCAGCUCGAGAAGGAGGUGGUGCGGGUCUGGUUCUGCAACCGGCGCCAAAAGGAGAAGCGCAUGACGCCGCCCGGGAUCCAACAGCAGACGCCCGACGACGUCUACUCGCAGGUGGGCACCGUGAGCGCCGACACGCCGCCGCCGCACCACGGACUGCAGACGAGCGUGCAGUGAAGGCAAGGGGCGCAGCGCAAAGAGGGCCGCCGCCGCCGCCUCCGCAGCCGCUGUCAGCACCGCCACCAACCCCCGCCGCCGCCGCCGCCGCCGCCGCCGCCGCAGCCGCCGCAGCGCCAACCCCGCACUGGGGCCGCACCGGGCCCGAGCCGGUCCGCCGCCCUCCCCUCCGCCCAAAGACAAACAUGCCCGCCUUUGGAGGAAAAAGAGAGAGAGAGACGGACCAAGGAGACAUUUCUCAAGUCCAAGGAAGGAGGGGCAAAACAAAAGCGUAAUAAAUACCCAGACUGUUUUAUAUACAUAUAUAUAACAAACAAAACCGGAAGAGAAAAAGGAGGCGAUCAUGAGAUCUCGUUUAUACUGUGGUGGUGUUUCCUUUUUGUUUUUCUUUUUCUUUUUAAAGAAGGGUGAAGAUGCCUAGCGCACCAAAACUGCACUCGUGAGGUUUUUUUCCCACCCUAGGAAGUCCUACACGGCAACGGUGGACAGCACCUAGCACCUGCCUCGUCCUCUCCUCUUAAAAAAAAGAAAAAAAGGCAAAAAAAAAGCACCCCUCUCUCCUUUUCACUCACUCCCCCCUCCAAAGGGCUGCCUAAAGUGAUCUACCGAAACUUUCUUUCCUGGGAGCGACCUGAAAGAAAGCAGAGGCACCGGGUUUAAUCAGGGGUUGACUCUGUGCUCGGGGCCCUGUUUUUCUUGGCCAUGUUAAAGUCAUUUGGGGACAAAUUGACUAUGAAAUGGGAAGGAGAAAACAAAGAACAGUCUUCAGAAAUAAAGGAAAGGAAAUAUUCACAGCUUCUGAAAUUAACAGACUGAAUAGCAAAGCCAAAAAGAAAAAGUAUCCUCAAAGUAACCUUGGAAAUAAAGCAUCACGAAAGAGCGAGGGAUGGGCAAGGGAGAAGGGGAUGUCCUCCGAGGAGUGGGAGAGGCCCGGCCGAGUCCUGGGCAGGGCGGGCGGACUGGGCGCGGAGCGAGGCCCCGCCACCAACCCCGGCUUUAACGGCGGUCACUCGGGUGGAUGAGGCCUAAAGAUUCCACCGCUAAUAUUUUUUUUAUUAAUAUUUUUUAUUUUUUAUUUCUGGACUGACUCAGAUAAAGAGAUUUAGAAGGACUGAGCACCAGCUGAUGCACUUCUCUGGACUUCUCUCCUCAAUCCGUUGCCAACUUUGAUUGAAUGGGUGCUGUGGAUGUGAUUAUAUAAUACUGCCAUUUCCAAGCAGUGUUUUUGUGGGUGUUUUUAGGUGAGAUUGUCUAAAGACUAGUCCCUUUCUUGGAGAUGUCCUUUAUCAUCUUUCCCAGAAGAUUGGACUACAGCACCAGUAAAAAUGUGCCAACUGGUUAUUAAUGGUUAAUACAGAGCUCUUCCCCCACCCAAGUUUAGCCUCUCUUUUCCCUCCCGUCCCCCCAACCAUACUGCUAAGUUUCUUUCCUCUUUUUCUGAAGACUAAUAGUUCUAAAGAAAAGCUUACAAGUCUAUAAAAUAUUUUUAUAUUAAUUACUUCCCAUUAAUAACUAUAUGCAAUUCAGUUUAAAUUAUUAAGCUAUAUUGGUUUUUUGUUUUGUUUUGUUUGUUUUUCUUGUACUGGAAGAAUGUAGUUCUAAAAUCCUGACUAUGGGCCACACUGCAUUACCCUCAGUGUGAUUACCAGCUCAGACUUAAGAUUCCACGUUUCUAUGUUCCGGUCUUUCCCCAGUAUGAUUCUGUAUCUUCUUCACUGGUGCUGGGGCUUUGAGCUUUUUUUGAUCACUCUUUAGCUACACCCUGCAGAGCGGUCACAUUUAUCAAGUUAAUGUAUCAAUAUUUACAGUGUGGGAAAAUGAAAGUAUAAUGCCUCAGGUUGUGAGUACUAUAGACUCAAAGGCUCUGCUCAGUUGAGUCCCUUCGUAUUGUACUUAAAAAAAGUAUUUGGGAGUGAUAAAGCAAUGAUUUUAUGGAUUAAUUUCCUCUUAAUCUCAUUUGGCUGUCACUUUCUGCCUUCUCUCAUCUUCCUCUCUCUUCCUCUGAUAUCGAUGCAGGGGUUAAAAAACCCGGAAAACUGUGAGAGCAACAAGGAACAGUCAUUUCUUCCAGACAGACCCUGUGUCACUUUCAUAAAUCAAGCCCAGCCAGAUGGCCAUGUAUUGGGUUGCAUUAUUUUAAACACCAAAUCGUACUAAAAAUCACAAUCAUUUUGAUUUGUGAAAUCUGAAAAAGGCCAUAUUUAUUAAACAGAGAGAAGGGAAAAAAUGAAAACAAGAAACCACAAUUUACUUUUCUUUGCCUUCUUGUUUCCUAUUUCUCUUGCUAUUAUAAUCUCUCUGCCCAGCGAAUUUACAACCUGAGUGGGGGUCGGGGGUGGGGACAAACUUCAUCUUUUUUUGAGGGGCUAUGGGGGCAAGCAAAGAAGGCCUUAUGAGAAAGCUGAGGAUUGGGUGUGGUGGUUUUUAUAUGGUGGAUACUACUGGCAUGUGAGAUGAAAUCCUAUUUUCCCUACAGGAAUGGUAGUGGUUGAUUAGAGAGAGAAUUGGUCUAUUUAAAAUUUUAGGAGGUAUUUGCUUACUUGAUUUGGCUGACAACAAAAGAACUAACAUUAGAUUUCACACUGUUUUCUAUUAAAAAGCAACCUUUGCUGAUUACUUUGGAAGGAGCCCAGAUUUAAGGGUAGCAGAGUAACUUUUCACUGGAGAAGAUGAGAAAGAAAGCCCAUUUUAUUUCAUCAUUUUGCAUGUCUAAAAGUGAGCUCAUGCUUGCACUCCAUAUUUUUUUUUAAAUCAACCCUUUGAAUGUAUUUACAAAAUGAAAUUCAUGGUUGAAAAACAAAAGAGGGCAGCUAUAACUGAGAGGUUUUGUGCUAAGGCUUAUAUUGUUACACAUGUAAAUAAUGAAAAUAUUGUUAUAUAUCACCAGAUCUUUUUAAUGAAUUUGGUCAUUGUGUUCCUUUGCAGCGCAAGUGUCUUGUGCUUCGUAAAGUGCCCAUUUGUUUCCUCCAUUUCAAUCCACCCCCUCCUCCCCUUCCAACCCAAAGGAAAGUGACAAAGUUCUGUUCCAUCAAUCUGGCUAAUCCGGAGCUAGGCCCAUUUAUAGUUUGCAGUGUCCUGUGGCUCCUGAUCAGUUGUCCAAGCCUCUGUCACCUCAUUCACCCAACCAUCUUCCCCUGCAAGUCUGGGCGAUAAAUCAUUCAAGGUGUAUUUAAAAUAGUCACUUUUCUGUUGUUGCUCUGCCUUUUUUUUUUUUAACUACUUAGCCAAGGACUACUUCUUUGUUCCAAAAUAGAACUGUUCAUUAUUGAUCUUAGAGAUUCCCUCUGCUUCCCUGUAGCCUCCAGUGUUUGCUUAUUACCAUGCUCAUAAUCUGUUUUGUAUGAAUGGUUUUCAACAUUCAGAGAAUAAUUGGUUCUAAUAUUAAAUGCAGUAUAUACAAUUGAUAGUUUUAUCAAUAAGUGUAAUAUUUUAAAUAAUUUUAACAAUUAAAUUUGUUUUUUAAAUUAUAUAUUUGUAAAGUAUUUAUCCUGUUGGAAGCAACAAUAUAUUGUUGUAUUUAUUCGUUUAUUUUUGUAAUAAAUGAUCAACCUCUUCAAGCUAAAUCAAAAAUGACACUUUUAUAUAUUUAUACAAAAUGCAUUUUAAGAUAUGGGCAUAUUU